rnacentral:rRNA from 1 species
CCCUUAGAUGUUCUGGGCCGCACGCGCGCUACACUGACGGAUUCAACGAGCUUACAACCUUGGCCGAAAGGUCUGGGUAAUCUCCAAAAUCCGUCGUGAUGGGGAUAGAUUAUUGCAAUUAUUAAUCUUCAACGAGGAAUGCCUAGUAAGCGCAAGUCAUCAGCUUGCGUUGAUUACGUCCCUGCCCUUUGUACACACCGCCCGUCGCUCCUACCGAUUGAAUGGUCCGGUGAAGCGCUUGGACUAUGGUUUUCUGAUGGUCCGCCGUUGGAUUACCGUGGGAAGUUCGUUAAACCUUAUCAUUUAGAGGAAGGAGAAGUCGUAACA